rnacentral:snoRNA from 1 species
AAUCCAUGUUGUGGGCAUUGAUGGAGUAGACUCUUGUAUCGCUCCUAAGCUUCUAAAUAACAUUCGAAGUCCAACUGUUGAGCUU